ensembl:lncRNA
GUUUGUAGGUGUCUCCCAACCAUCCUUCAAGGCCGUCUGGCCUCACCUGGAGAUUCUCCCAAAGGGAAACUGGGGCUUUGAGACACUUGGGCCAAGAUCUGAAGCCAAGAGUUGGCCUCUGGGCUCAGCACCUGGAGAGCAAACAGACAAUGCUUCAUUAAGUCUUCAACCUCUCUGUCUCCGGGAACCUGUCCCUGCCCACAUCGCUCUCCUACUGGCCCUGGCGGCCCUCUGGGUCCUGAACGCCGGUGCCGCCAUCACCCCCGCCCGGGAGGCCUCCGAGAGCCGCAGAAGACCGGUCUGCACUGCCGGGGGUCGCUGGCGCCGCCUCCCGGCCUUCGCGGUGGGAGUCGCUCGCGGACCGGGGUCUCCUGCAACCCCUGCAGCCCAGGUCUCAGAUACACCCAAUGUGGCCCCAAGAAAGGCAGAGACAAGCACCGCGGGAGCCUGAGGCCACGUCUCCCUGCAGGGCCAGGGGGCAAGCCCCAUCCCAGGAGUGGAAGAGAGGAGGGGGCCGGGAGGCCCUGGUGGAUGCGACGCAGAAGCAGGCCACGACCGACCGUGCUGCUGCCCUUUGCUGUGGUCCCGCUUUCCUCCGGGAUGUCCCGAGUGGCUUCACUGGAAGUCAUCCUCCUGGAGGACCUGGAGGAGGGAAGCACUGGGCCUCAGGACCUCCAAGCCAAUCAUCUGAGCCUGGGGCUCUCAGGGCUGAGAAAAGACCGGGGUUUUGGGUGUGUGUGCAUGUGUGCCUGUGUGUGUGUGUGUGCCUCUGUGUGUGUGUGCCUCCGUGUGUGUGUAGGCGUGUGUGCCUCCGUGUGUAUCUGUGUGUGUGUGUCUGCAGACCUCAGAGAGGGAGGCUUCACCCUGCGGCCGGAGGAGGUGGUGAACUCAGGGUGCGUCCCCGCCGAGCCUCUCGUGUCCUGCCGCCGCCGCGCGAGGGGCCUGCCUCGGCUACUCCCAGGCGCACAGGGGCCUGAGCCGGCGGGCGCCGAGAACCUGGGCCCAGGGACGGCCUGGACCCCACCGACACUGGCCCAGGAGCGCAGCCUCAGUCUCACUGCCGGGUCGGUUCUGCCCAAGGUCACCGCGCGCCGCUCGGAU